rnacentral:lncRNA from 1 species
CUGAGAUGAACAAGAAGGUUUACAAGAUUGGCAAGUCUGGACAGGAGAGCCAUGAUGCCUCCACCGAGUUUGACAGGUACUGUUCUUUUUGCUUCUGAAGAAUCAUUUCUUUAGUGUUUGUAAGUAGGUUGCACAAUCUGUGUAGCCUUGUUUGUUUCGUGGUACUGAAUUGUUGGGUCUUUGCAGGACUGAGAAGGACAUCACUCCCAUGGGUGGCUUCCCCCACUACGGUAUCGUCAAGGGUGACUACCUGAUGAUCAAGGGUUGCUGCGUCGGCCCCAAGAAGAGAGUGGUGACCCUCCGGCAGUCCCUCCUGAAGCAGACCUCACGGCUCGCCCUGGAGGAGAUCAAGCUCAAGUUCGUCGACACCUCGUCCAAGUUUGGCCAUGGGCGCUUCCAGACCACCGAGGAGAAGCAGAGGUUCUAUGGCAAGCUCAAGGCCUAAGCUGCUGCUUGAAGUCCUAAAUUGUCACCUGAUACUAGUUCCUCCCUUGUUUCCUGUGGUACUAAGUUUUGUAGCAGAUGUUUGAGAACCUGUUCCCAAGUUAUCUGUGGAUUCGCCAU